rnacentral:rRNA from 1 species
GAUGAACGCUGGCGGCGUGCCUAAUACAUGCAAGUCGAGCGAACAGACGAGGAGCUUGCUCCUCUGACGUUAGCGGCGGACGGGUGAGUAACACGUGGAUAACCUACCUAUAAGACUGGGAUAACUUCGGGAAACCGGAGCUAAUACCGGAUAAUAUAUUGAACCGCAUGGUUCAAUAGUGAAAGACGGUUUUGCUGUCACUUAUAGAUGGAUCCGCGCCGCAUUAGCUAGUUGGUAAGGUAACGGCUUACCAAGGCGACGAUGCGUAGCCGACCUGAGAGGGUGAUCGGCCGCACUGGAGCUGAGACACGGUCCAGACUCCUACGGGAGGCAGCAGUAGGGAAUCUUCCGCAAUGGGCGAAAGCCUGACGGAGCAACGCCGCGUGAGUGAUGAAGGUCUUCGGAUCGUAAAACUCUGUUAUUAGGGAAGAACAAAUGUGUAAGUAACUAUGCACGUCUUGACGGUACCUAAUCAGAAAGCCACGGCUAACUACGUG